rnacentral:ncRNA from 1 species
CCUGCCACGCCUCUCAGUGAUGCGCAAUCUGGCGGGU